rnacentral:rRNA from 1 species
UCCACGCCGUAAACGAUGUCUACUUGGAGGUUGUGGCCUUGAGCCGUGGCUUUCGGAGCUAACGCGUUAAGUAGACCGCCUGGGGAGUACGGUCGCAAGAUUAAAACUCAAAUGAAUUGACGGGGGCCCGCACAAGCGGUGGAGCAUGUGGUUUAAUUCGAUGCAACGCGAAGAACCUUACCUACUCUUGACAUCCAGAGAAGCCAGCGGAGACGCAGGCGUGCCUUCGGGAGCUCUGAGACAGGUGCUGCAUGGCUGUCGUCAGCUCGUGUUGUGAAAUGUUGGGUUAAGUCCCGCAACGAGCGCAACCCUUAUCCUUGUUUGCCAGCGAGUAAUGUCGGGAACUCCAGGGAGACUGCCGGUGAUAAACCGGAGGAAGGUGGGGACGACGUCAAGUCAUCAUGGCCCUUACGAGUAGGGCUACACACGUGCUACAAUGGCGCAUACAGAGGGCAGCGAACUUGCGAGAGUGAGCGAAUCCCAAAAAGUGCGUCGUAGUCCGGAUUGGAGUCUGCAACUCGACUCCAUGAAGUCGGAAUCGCUAGUAAUCGUAGAUCAGAAUGCUACGGUGAAUACGUUCCCGGGCCUUGUACACACCGCCCGUCACACCAUGGGAGUGGGCUGCAAAAGAAGUGGGUAGUUUAACCUUUCGGGGAGGACGCUCACCACUUUGUGGUUCAUGACUGGGGUGAAGUCGUAACAAGGUAGCCCUAGGGGAACCUGGGGCUGGAUCACCUCCUUAUACGAAGAUA